AUAGUUUUAAAGAGUUCUGGAUGCCUUUACUCUAAUAGUAGUAGUCAUAGUUGAAGUAUUAAUAGUUAUUUAUUGAACUUAUACUGUAUUCCUGGCCCAGUGCUGUCCUCUUUAUAUGAAAUAUCUUGUUUGAUUACCCUAACAAUCUUACGAUGAAGAAAUUCUUAAUAUUCUCACAUGACAAAAGGAGCAAAGUGUUUCUUUACGUCCCAAACAAUUAUGUAGUGUUUUAAUAGGUGCCAGGCUUUUCUCUAAGUGCCUUUCAGCUCUUACAUUAAUCCUUUAAGAAAUCUUAUAUUUUUUUUUACAGGCAAGGAAAUGGAAGUGGAGAAAAGUUAAGGCACCUGUCCAAAGUCACGAUUAAUAAGUGGUGGAGGAGGAUUUGAACUUGGGCCUUCUGGCUAUGGAAUGGACUCCUUAACUGUGCUCACUGAUAACUAGCCCUGCCUGGUGGUAGGCCUGGGAUGUACUCUUGGGCCAUCCUGCAUAUGAACUUGUAUUCAGCAGCCAUCACAUUAUUUCACCUCUUGUAUAAAAGAACAGAUUCAAGGACAGGCUUAGCUUCUUUUUAACAGAAAGAAAAUUUGAAAUCCACCAGGAGAACUAUGUCUGGUGGUAACUUACUUUGUUGAGAAUUCAACUAUUGUAGUUCAGCCUCUUUUUAGUGACCUCUUAUGUUUUCUACUUUGUUUGUUUAUCUUUUAAGAUCUGCUCUUAAAAUCUUCUCAGACUUCAGGGAACUGAGUUCUAUGGAAGGCUGGUUAAAAUUCUAUUAGGAUUAGGGCGUGUAGUCUUUAUUUUAUGUAUAAGUCAGAGAAAGAACACAUGUAAAAAUUUGUGUACCCGUAUGGGGUAUCUCUCUUGUUUUUUACCUCUAUCUUUUUUCUUUCUAUCUCCCCUUGUCCCUUUUAUUUAUCUAAGAUGACUGGGAAGGGCUCUGGAAAAUAAAUUUCAUUGCAUGACUGCUUUGUGACAAGUACAUUGCCAAGUGCUUUGUGUGCCAGGUCUCAUUACUCUGUCAGGGAACUACAGUUUUCAUCCCUCUGCUAGUUUGGUUGUUAAAGUUUUCUGCUUUCUCAGAUUUAGUUUUGUUUACCAUUAAGAGAAAUCCUGUUGUUUCUCUUUACUGGCCGUAAUCCUGUUUCCAAUACAGCCUGGAGAUGGACUACAUUGCAAUGGGGAUAACCAUUUCCCGGUGUCAUCUCUCAUUUGCGCUAAUAGGAGAAUACAAGCUUAUAUACUGUUAAGAUGGUGGGGAUUCAGAUGAUGGGGCUUCACUGUUUUACUGAGCAAAAAUAGUUUAUCUGUUCUGUAUUGCCAGUGCUUAUUGAGAACCAUAUUGCUCUAUGGUCUUGGUGAUUACCAAACAAGAUAAAAGAUACAGUGGCUGUUUAUUAGGUUAAGGGAGGCUAUUUCACCCAUCCAACAAAUACUUAUAAAGCUCCUGUUACAUGCUGGGGAGUGUUACAGGCACUGGGGAUACAGCCUCAAACAAAGCUGAUCAAGUUCCUAAUUUGCCCUAGAAACAUAACUAGUACUUAGAAAUUCUAGAAUGGUUAUCUAAUUAUUUUCUUUUUUGUAUAGUUGGAGGUUAUUUUAUUUCAUAAAACCCCUGGUCAUUGGCCAUCCUUAAUUGCUGAAAAUAUUACUGCAAAUGAAGAUCUUUCAGUUGCAGAACUGAUGCCUUUAGUUUACUGGGUGUUCCUUGCCUGCUGUUAAAUAACUCUUUUAAGUUUGUUAUGAGUUCUGUUAGAUGACUUCAAGAUCAUCUAGUCACAUUUUUACAUUUAUCAGGUGAGGAAAUUGAGGCUGGGGAAGUGGAGUUCAAAUACUUAGUUCAAGGGAGGUAAUACUUAGUUCAGAGUAGAAAUUUUGACUUGUUGCUAUUUUGUGUCUUGAUAUUCCUAAACAGAAUUUAUAAUACCAGAAAAAUGGCAGACUUUUAACUGUAUCCCACCAAAGGUACAGGACAGUUAUUAGAGCUCUACUGUCUUUUAAGGUUUGGUGGGGGAGAGGGCAAGUACUCCUUGGACAUCUUUUCCCCAGUAAAAUGCCUGUGGCCACAUAUAUUCGAUUUGUUUUUAUAUUAUUUGAAAAUGGAUUGAGGAGGGAUUUAGAUGGCUGGUUUUGCAGUGGCCUUGAUGAGAAAUGAUGAUUUGGUUGAGAAUGAUGAUAGAGGAGAUAAAAGAAAACAACCAGAUUUAAAGGCUGGUGUCUUGAUGUCCUGAUGAGCAAUGUUUCACAUGCAAAUCUGUAUGGAAAUUCAGGUUUUGGGGGAAGAUAAUUUAUUGCUAAAUUAAUUUAGAUUUAAAACUCUGAAGUCUGUUUUAUUUAUUGAUUCUUUUGUGUAUGUGUAUUUCUCCCCCCCCCCCUUUUUUUUU
ensembl:lncRNA